CAGCAGCCGCGGUAAUACGAAGGGGGCUAGCGUUGCUCGGAAUGACUGGGCGUAAAGGGCGCGUAGGCGGCGGCCAAAGUCAGGCGUGAAAUUCCCGGGCUCAACCUGGGGGCUGCGUUUGAUACUUGGUUGCUUGAGUGGGGAAGAGGGUCGUGGAAUUCCCAGUGUAGAGGUGAAAUGCGUAGAGAUCGGGAGGAACAUCAGUGGCGAAGGCGGCCAUCUGGGACAACACUGACGCUGAGGCACGAAAGCGUGGGGAGCAAACAGGAUUAGAUACCCCUGUAGUCCCUGUCUCUUAUAC
rnacentral:rRNA from 1 species